UGGGGAAUAUUGGGCAAUGGAGGGAACUCUGACCCAGCCAUGCCGCGUGCAGGAUGAAGGCGUUAUGCGUUGUAAACUGCUUUUAUAUAGGAAGAAAUAGUCCUUGCGAGGAAAGUUGACGGUACUAUAUGAAUAAGCACCGGCUAACUCCGUGCCAGCAGCCGCGGUAAUACGGAGGGUGCAAGCGUUGUCCGGAUUUAUUGGGUUUAAAGGGUGCGUAGGCGGUUUAUUAAGUCAGUGGUGAAAGACGGUCGCUCAACGAUUGCAGUGCCAUUGAUACUGGUAGACUUGAAUAUGAUUGAGGUAGCUGGAAUGGAUAGUGUAGCGGUGAAAUGCAUAGAUAUUAUCCAGAACACCAAUUGCGUAGGCAAGUUACUAAGUCAUAACUGACGCUGAGGUGCGAAAGCGUGGGGAGCAAACAGGAUUAGAUACCCCAGUAGUCCCUG
rnacentral:rRNA from 1 species